rnacentral:misc_RNA from 1 species
GACAGUGCAGUAAAUCUUGCUGAGGCAAAAGCUGCAAUUCAAGCAGGAUUGCGGAAAGGAAAUGCCAGAGAAAGGUCUGCUCUAAACAAGCUCAACAAUGAUGUGCAUGAAAAUAGAAGAAGGGAGCAAAUGACAAACAGCUCUGACUCGUCCAGAAGUUCUCGUGAAUACUUCUAUGCACAAAGAGUAUUUCCAAGGUCACAGC